rnacentral:rRNA from 1 species
UACGAAGGGUGCGAGCGUUGUUCGGAAUGACUGGGCGUAAAGGGUUCGUAGGCGGGAGUGCAAGUCAAGUGUGAAAUCCCCAGGCUUAACCUGGGACGUGCACUUGAAACUGCAUUUCUUGAGUCGAGGAGAGGGUAAUGGAAUUGCUGGUGUAGGAGUGACAUCCGUAGAGAUCAGCAGGAACACCGGAGGCGAAGGCGAUUACCUGGCCGAAGACUGACGCUGAGGAACGAAAGCGUGGGGAGCAAACAGGAUUAGAUACCCUGGUAGUCCACGCCGUAAACGAUGAUAACUAGAUGUUGCGGGAAUUGACCCCUGCAGUAUCGCAGCUCACGCAUUAAGUUAUCCGCCUGGGGAGUACGGCCGCAAGGCUAAA